rnacentral:siRNA from 1 species
UGGUUUCCGACAGGUACUAU